rnacentral:sRNA from 1 species
CCAAGGCGAGGAUGCCAACAGGAUAACGACUUAGGGAUAAGGGUCAGGAGCGCCAGGAGGCGAAGACUCAGGAAGACGACCAGGAUGGUUAGCGCCAGGAGGCGUUCAAAAAAGGAAAUGGACCCUAUUAAGGAUGAUAUUCGCUAAGGGAUAAACAGGGUGAGUUGUUAGCAAACAGGGAUUGAAUAACCCGUUAAGGGUUGAGAGUCAGGAAAAAAGGCGACAGAUUGCUCUGUCGCCUUUUUUCUUUGCUUGCUU